rnacentral:rRNA from 1 species
AUGAACGCUGGCGGUAUGCUUAACACAUGCAAGUCGAACGGUCUCUUCGGAGAUAGUGGCGGACGGGUGAGUAACGCGUGAGAAUCUGGCUCUAGGUCUGGGACAACAGUUGGAAACGACUGCUAAUACCGGAUGUGCCGAAAGGUGAAAGGCUUGCUGCCUAGAGAUGAGCUCGCGUCUGAUUAGCUAGUAGGUGUGGUAAAAGCGCACCUAGGCGACGAUCAGUAGCUGGUCUGAGAGGAUGAUCAGCCACACUGGGACUGAGACACGGCCCAGACUCCUACGGGAGGCAGCAGUGGGGAAUUUUCCGCAAUGGGCGAAAGCCUGACGGAGCAAUACCGCGUGAGGGAGGAAGGCUCUUGGGUUGUAAACCUCUUUUCUCAAGGAAUAAAAAAAUGAAGGUACUUGAGGAAUCAGCAUCGGCUAACUCCGUGCCAGCAGCCGCGGUAAUACGGAGGAUGCAAGCGUUAUCCGGAAUGAUUGGGCGUAAAGCGUCCGCAGGUGGCCCUGUAAGUCUGCUGUUAAAGAGUGAGGCUUAACCUCAUAAAAGCAGUGGAAACUACAGAGCUAGAGUGCGUUCGGGGCAGAAGGAAUUCCUGGUGUAGCGGUGAAAUGCGUAGAGAUCAGGAAGAACACCGGUGGCGAAGGCGUUCUGCUAGGCCGCAACUGACACUGAGGGACAAAAGCUAGGGGAGCGAAUGGGAUUAGAUACCCCAGUAGUCCUAGCCGUAAACGAUGGAUACUAGGCGUUGCGAGUAUCGACCCUCGCAGUGCCGGAGCCAACGCGUUAAGUAUCCCGCCUGGGGAGUACGCACGCAAGUGUGAAACUCAAAGGAAUUGACGGGGGCCCGCACAAGCGGUGGAGUAUGUGGGUUUUAAUUCGAUGCAACGCGAAGAACCUUACCAAGACUUGACAUGUCGCGAACUCUUCUGAAAGGAAGAGGUGCCUUCGGGAGCGCGGACACAGGUGGUGCAUGGCUGUCGUCAGCUCGUGUCGUGAGAUGUUGGGUUAAGUCCGCAACGAGCGCAACCCUCGUUUUUAGUUGCCAGCGUUAAGUUGGGCACUCUAGAGAGACUGCCGGUGACAAACCGGAGGAAGGUGGGGAUGACGUCAAGUCAGCAUGCCCCUUACGUCUUGGGCUACACACGUACUACAAUGCGUCGAACAGAGGGCAGCAAGCUAGCGAUAGCAAGCAAAUCCCGGAAAUCGGCGCUCAGUUCAGAUCGCAGGCUGCAACUCGCCUGCGUGAAGGAGGAAUCGCUAGUAAUUGCAGGUCGGCAUACUGCAGUGAAUUCGUUCCCGGGCCUUGUACACACCGCCCGUCACACCAUGGAAGCUGGUCACGCCCGAAGUCAUUACCCCAACUUUCGGAGAGGGGGAUGCCUAAGGUAGGACUGGUGACUGGGGUG